CCCUAAACACUCCGCCGGCCUUCCCUUUCCCUUAUCCUCCUCUGCAGCAGCAACACUCUCACUCUGGACCAUCUCCUUCCCAGCUCCGCAGCUCCGCAGCUCUUCCGAUUCGUCUUCUUCCUUCCCUGUGACCUGAUGCAGUGCUGCGACCUGCCUCACACAUCGACGCCGUCUUACUCUCUCUCAGUCUCUCACCCCCGUGACCUGCUGUGAUCAGUAACCCGCUCGCGACCCACGACUUCCUCUCGCCGUUUCUAGUCUCCAGUCUUGACCCACAAAUUCCCUCAUUUGCAAGGUCAUUGCCACAGAUCCGUUAGAAAAUGUUGACAAAGAAAAGACAGAUAUAUUGAUGUAUUGCACUGGAGGUAUCCGUUGUGAUGUAUAUUCCACAAUCCUAAGGUAACCCUCCAUCUGUUGCGAUGUAUAUUGAUGAUUCAUCAUGAUUGUAUUGCAUUAUUAAUGGGAAAAUCUGUGAUGGAACGGAUUGUGUUGUGAUGUUGGAAGCAAUUCUUUAUCUUUCUUCUCUCGCCCUUCUUAUUUUGGUCCUGUACUCUGUAGACAUUUCUAUUGGGUGCUAUAUUGCUAUAACCAUUGUUUUAAUUUUGGUUUAUAAACAUUAUUCAGACAUUUGUAAUUUUGGUUAUAAACAUUGGUUUUACUCCCUGACAUGAGACACACUGACAUAGCAGAUGUUUAUAUGCAUAAUCCUGCAUCAACAUUUUUGCCUUUUCUGCAUUUUCUGCAUAAUCCUGCCUUUUCUGCAUAAUCCUUCAUGAAAUUCAGGGGUAGUUAUUUCGUUUGGUGUUCUAUCGAUCUACCUUGGCUUUACUCCCAUAGCACUCUGCCACUCUAUGUACUUUAAUUUUGUUUCAUUGGCUCCAGCUCCACCAUUACAAUUAGUUACCUACUGAUAGUCUGAUAGCAUCACAGUCCUCUCUUCAGAGGAUUGACAAAUUCGUGAUUUACCUUCUAUUGAAAAUAAAGUGAUUAAUUGGCUUUGAAAAAUCAUACAAUGCAGAUUAUUGGGGGCUCAAGAACAGUUAAAUUUUCAGUAAUAAUUAAUAGGAGGUCAUGUCGGAGAUUUCAAACUACUAGAGGCAUAGACAGGGAACCUGUUUUCCCAUUUUUUCCUUCACUUUAGUUUCACUUUAGUUUCAUGUUUUGAAUGUCAAACUAUGUAAGGUUACUAAGGUAUACAAUGAUUGCCCGAGGAUGGAUUGUAACAAUGAUUUACAAUGAUUGCCCGAAGCACUUUUGUGAUGGAGUAAAAUGCAUGAUAAAGAACCCUAUAUGAUAAAGACCACUGUACCAUUCCUAAGCUCCAUAUUUUGUGAAGAAGUUGAAAAAGAAAUGGCAAGUGCAAACUCAAACAAAGGUGCUAUGUUGCCGCCUAGGCCGCCUAAGCAUUGAGCUUGAGGACUUGGAAGAUUUUAUUUGUCCCAAGAUAUGAAAUGAUGAAACGUUGAAGAUGUGUAAAAUUGAUUUCAUACUUGUAGGUUUUCAUGUGGAUGACUUUGAAGAAGUGGCUUUGAAUGUGAACUUUCAUAUUUUCAUUUUUUUUU